rnacentral:tRNA from 1 species
GGGCGGGUGGCAUAGUGGUUAGCGCAGUCGCCUCACAACAAGAAGGUCGUGGGUUUGAAUCUCGGCAUGUUCU